AGUGAACGCUGGCGGUAGGCCUAACACAUGCAAGUCGAACGGCAGCACAAGAGAGCUUGCUCUCUGGGUGGCGAGUGGCGGACGGGUGAGGAAUACAUCGGAAUCUACUCUGUCAUGGGGGAUAACGUAGGGAAACUUACGCUAAUACCGCACACGACCUACGGGUGAAAGCAGGGGACCUUCGGGCCUUGCGCGAUUGAAUGAGCCGAUGUCGGAUUAGCUAGUUGGCGGGGUAAAGGCCCACCAAGGCGACGAUCCGUAGCUGGUCUGAGAGGAUGAUCAGCCACACUGGAACUGAGACACGGUCCAGACUCCUACGGGAGGCAGCAGUGGGGAAUAUUGGACAAUGGGCGCAAGCCUGAUCCAGCCAUACCGCGUGGGUGAAGAAGGCCUUCGGGUUGUAAAGCCCUUUUGUUGGGAAAGAAAUCCAGCUGGCUAAUACCCGGUUGGGAUGACGGUACCCAAAGAAUAAGCACCGGCUAACUUCGUGCCAGCCGCCGCGGUAA
rnacentral:rRNA from 1 species